AAGCCGGGCGGGGUGCUAUACAUGCAGUCGAGCGAACGGACGAGAAGCUUGCUUCUCUGAUGUUAGCGGCGGACGGGUGAGUAACACGUGGAUAACCUACCUAUAAGACUGGGAUAACUUCGGGAAACCGGAGCUAAUACCGGAUAAUAUUUUGAACCGCAUGGUUCAAAAGUGAAAGACGGUCUUGCUGUCACUUAUAGAUGGAUCCGCGCUGCAUUAGCUAGUUGGUAAGGUAACGGCUUACCAAGGCAACGAUGCAUAGCCGACCUGAGAGGGUGAUCGGCCACACUGGAACUGAGACACGGUCCAGACUCCUACGGGAGGCAGCAGUAGGGAAUCUUCCGCAAUGGGCGAAAGCCUGACGGAGCAACGCCGCGUGAGUGAUGAAGGUCUUCGGAUCGUAAAACUCUGUUAUUAGGGAAGAACAUAUGUGUAAGUAACUGUGCACAUCUUGACGGUACCUAAUCAGAAAGCCACGGCUAACUACGUGCCAGCAGCCGCGGUAAUACGUAGGUGGCAAGCGUUAUCCGGAAUUAUUGGGCGUAAAGCGCGCGUAGGCGGUUUUUUAAGUCUGAUGUGAAAGCCCACGGCUCAACCGUGGAGGGUCAUUGGAAACUGGAAAACUUGAGUGCAGAAGAGGAAAGUGGAAUUCCAUGUGUAGCGGUGAAAUGCGCAGAGAUAUGGAGGAACACCAGUGGCGAAGGCGACUUUCUGGUCUGUAACUGACGCUGAUGUGCGAAAGCGUGGGGAUCAAACAGGAUUAGAUACCCUGGUAGUCCACGCCGUAAACGAUGAGUGCUAAGUGUUAGGGGGUUUCCGCCCCUUAGUGCUGCAGCUAACGCAUUAAGCACUCCGCCUGGGGAGUACGACCGCAAGGUUGAAACUCAAAGGAAUUGACGGGGACCCGCACAAGCGGUGGAGCAUGUGGUUUAAUUCGAAGCAACGCGAAGAACCUUACCAAAUCUUGACAUCCUUUGACAACUCUAGAGAUAGAGCCUUCCCCUUCGGGGGACAAAGUGACAGGUGGUGCAUGGUUGUCGUCAGCUCGUGUCGUGAGAUGUUGGGUUAAGUCCCGCAACGAGCGCAACCCUUAAGCUUAGUUGCCAUCAUUAAGUUGGGCACUCUAAGUUGACUGCCGGUGACAAACCGGAGGAAGGUGGGGAUGACGUCAAAUCAUCAUGCCCCUUAUGAUUUGGGCUACACACGUGCUACAAUGGACAAUACAAAGGGCAGCGAAACCGCGAGGUCAAGCAAAUCCCAUAAAGUUGUUCUCAGUUCGGAUUGUAGUCUGCAACUCGACUACAUGAAGCUGGAAUCGCUAGUAAUCGUAGAUCAGCAUGCUACGGUGAAUACGUUCCCGGGUCUUGUACACACCGCCCGUCACACCACGAGAGUUUGUAACACCCGAAGCCGGUGGAGUAACCUUUUAGGAGCUAGCCGUCGAAGGGGG
rnacentral:rRNA from 1 species